rnacentral:rRNA from 1 species
AGAUUGAACGCUGGCGGCAUGCCUUACACAUGCAAGUCGAACGGCAGCACGGGAGCAAUCCUGGUGGCGAGUGGCGAACGGGUGAGUAAUAUAUCGGAACGUGCCCAGUCGUGGGGGAUAACGCAGCGAAAGCUGUGCUAAUACCGCAUACGAUCUAUGGAUGAAAGCGGGGGAUCGCAAGACCUCGCGCGAUUGGAGCGGCCGAUAUCAGAUUAGCUAGUUGGUGGGGUAAAAGCCUACCAAGGCGACGAUCUGUAGCUGGUCUGAGAGGACGACCAGCCACAUCCGGAAUGAGACACGAUCCAGACUCCUA